GACGAAGGUGGCGAGCGUUGUUCGGAAUCACUGGGCAUAAAGCGCACGUAGGCGGCAAUAUAAGUCGGGUGUGAAAUCCCUCGGCCUAACCGAGGAACCGCGCCCGAUACUGCAUUGCUUGAGGACCAGAGGGGUGCAUGGAAUUUCCGGUGGAGCGGUGAAAUGCGUUGAUAUCGGAAGGAACGUCGGCGGCGAAAGCGGUGCACUGGCUGGUCUCUGACGCUGAGGUGCGAAAGCCAGGGGAGCAAACGGGAUUAGAAACCCGGUAGUCC
rnacentral:rRNA from 1 species